UGGGGAAUAUUGCACAAUGGGCGAAAGCCUGAUGCAGCGACGCCGCGUGAGGGAUGACGGCAUUCGGGUUGUAAACCUCUUUCAGCAGGGACGAAGCGCAAGUGACGGUACCUGCAGAAGAAGCACCGGCUAACUACGUGCCAGCAGCCGCGGUAAUACGUAGGGUGCAAGCGUUGUCCGGAAUUACUGGGCGUAAAGAGUUCGUAGGCGGUUUGUCGCGUCGUUUGUGAAAACCAGCAGCUCAACUGCUGGCUUGCAGGCGAUACGGGCAGACUUGAGUACUGCAGGGGAGACUGGAAUUCCUGGUGUAGCGGUGAAAUGCGCAGAUAUCAGGAGGAACACCGGUGGCGAAGGCGGGUCUCUGGGCAGUAACUGACGCUGAGGAACGAAAGCGUGGGUAGCGAACAGG
rnacentral:rRNA from 1 species